UACGUAGGGGGCUAGCGUUAUCCGGAAUUACUGGGCGUAAAGGGUGCGUAGGUGGUUUCUUAAGUCAGAGGUGAAAGGCUACGGCUCAACCGUAGUAAGCCUUUGAAACUGGGAAACUUGAGUGCAGGAGAGGAGAGUGGAAUUCCUAGUGUAGCGGUGAAAUGCGUAGAUAUUAGGAGGGACACCAGUUGCGAAGGCGGCUCUCUGGACUGUAACUGACACUGAGGCACGAAAGCGUGGGGAGCAAACAGG
rnacentral:rRNA from 1 species